rnacentral:rRNA from 1 species
AGACGUCUACAUUAGAUACCCGCGUAGUCCCAGCCGUAAACUAUGCGCGUUAGGUGUAUCGGUGACCACGAGUCACCGAGGUGCCGAAGGGAAACCGUGAAACGUGCCGCCUGGGAAGUACGGUCGCAAGGCUGAAACUUAAAGGAAUUGGCGGGGAGCACCACAACGGGUGGAGCCUGCGGUUUAAUUGGAUUCAACGCCGGACAUCUCACCGGAUAAGACAGCUGAAUGAUUGUCAAUCUGAAGGUUUUACAUGACUAGCUG